GCAUAGUGGACCCAACCACGGCUCUGCUGAACACCAAUAGCACGCCAUUCAUUUUCAGAGAGAAGCCGAUUCUUUGGAAGAAGCUUUGCCACUUCAGGAGGGAGCACCACAUGCCUGUACUCAUAAGUGUCAUCGAAAUACUUCUCGGAGUACUGGAUCUGACCCAUCUUCCACUCUACUAGGGAUUUUAGUCUCAAUCAAAUUCCACUUUCAAGUCGGUUGUCCAGUUUUCUUCAAGACUUAUAAUUGAUCUCGCAAUAUCAAAGAAGAAACAGGAUUCAAUGAAAUCACAAGUGCACACAUCAGUAAGGGAAGAAUCGCAAAGGGAAUUUC
rnacentral:misc_RNA from 1 species